GAUUCCCCGAGUAGCGGCGAGCGAAACGGGACGAAGCCCAUCGCUGAAUCCUGCGGCUCCGGCGAGCCGCCGGGAAAUGUAGCGUCAGGGAGGAGAGUUAAAAUUAUACACGCGCGGUUAAAUCGUUUAGUCACGGCCGCCUGUCCAAGUUCAUCUUGAACGGGGCUCCGUUUGCCCGCAGAGGGUGCCAGGCCCGUAGCGACGGCGGCCGGCCGCGACGGUCUCUCUCCCGAGAGUCGGGUUGCUUGAGAGUGCAGCCCUAAGCGGGUGGUAAACUCCAUCUAAGGCUAAAUACGACCACGAGACCGAUAGCGAACA
rnacentral:rRNA from 1 species